CCUGUGAUUGCAAACUAAACAUGAUUAUCAUGUCACAGAGGUGCCAUACACCCAUACAAAAUGCUCCUGUCCCACCCCGUGUGAGGAGAAUAUCUACGAGGUCAGGACCUCUGCUGCAUAUCACCCAACAGACUACUUCCUCAAACAGGCAGCUCGGCUCUACUACAACGUCACAAACCUCACCACGGAGGCGUCCAUCCGGGACUUUGAGCAGUUUUACAGGAAGCGAGCCGCUUACAUCCGCGUAUACUUCGAAUCUUUGACCUCGGAUCUUAUCGAAGAAAAGGCUACCUACGAACUGCCCAGUUUUUUAUCUGAUAUCGGCGGUAGUGUGGGACUGUUUCUCGGCUGCAGUGUCCUGACAGCUUGUGAGUUCCUGGAACUGUUCGCUGUGACGGUCGCUUCUCUAUUCAUGAAGUUUUUCAGACGCAACAACAACAACGUUAGAGAUUUUAGGGCAUAAACUUCAUACCAGAAGAUUAAUCAAACACUACAAGGUAUAAAACGACACUCAUUAAUCGAGCCUGUGUUAUUAGAGGAGACACGCACGCUUGGCGUCAGCAUGAGCGCGAUCUCCCCAAAACUAGAUUGUAAUGUAAGAUAACAUUUUAAUUGUUAAAAAAAACAAAUAGAUCUCAUUUUUUUUGUGCGUCCAGGCGUCUGUCCUCUAAUAGAUGCGCAGAAUAAAGACGUCACAGCGUCUUGGCGCAAUUUGUAAUACCUUUUGCAAUUUGUAAUAAAGUUGUUGCGUACUCGACUGGGUCUUGUUGCGUACUUUUUUUGUGCAUGACACGCCGUGACGUCAACUGUUCAUCUAUUAGGACAGACGGACGCAAAAAUGAGAUCUAUUUGUUAAGUACUCUUUUCACUAUUUUUUUUUAUAAGAACGUCUAAUUUUCAGUUGAGGUUGGGCCGUUCUUAUUUUGGGAGAAUUUUAAGGUAGGAAAUGUUCUUAAGGAUGUUCUCUUCUAUGAUUAUAGAAGAGAACAACUGAUCAAUAGCAAUAAUAUCUUAGGUUGCUACUGUGAACACAAUUAGAUUUUGCAUUUUAGAACGCAUCAGACGCAUUUCAGAACGCAUCAGAUGCAUUUUAGAACGCAUCAGACGCAUUUUAGAACGCAUCAGGCGCAUCAGACGCAUUUUAGAACGCAUCAGAUGCAUUUUAGAACGCAUCAGACGCAUCAGACGCAUUUUAGAACGCAUCAGACGCAUUUUAGAACGCAUCAGACGCAUCAGACGCAUUUUAAAACGCAUCAGAUGCAUCAGACGCAUUUUAGAACGCAUCAGAUGCAUUUUAGAACGCAUCAGAUGCAUUUUAGAACGCAUCAGACGCAUUUUAGAACGCAUCAGACGCAUCAGACGCAUUUUAAAACGCAUCAGAUGCAUCAGACGCAUUUUAGAACGCAUCAGAUGCAUUUUAGAACGCAUCAUUUUGCUGCUAUCUGAGCCUUGGCAUGUUCUUAGAAUUUCUUAUAAAAAAGAUUCUUAUAUAAAAAAAGAGUGUAUGAUAAAAAAUUUGCAGGCAUCAUUUGUCUGAUCAUUUGUAAGAAUAUGGAAGAAUGUGUCAACAAUCCAAAACAGGGCUGUUUGUAGCUGGCUCUGAUGUGGAAACAAACCUGGGGGAAGGGGGCAUAAUAGAAACGCUGGAGAAGUAUGCCCGUGGUACCGUAUACAGUGACUCAUAAUUGAAUUGGGCAAAAAUCACGUACCGAGCAUAGUUUUUUUUUUGGCUCAGUGAAUAUAUAAUAAAUAAGUUACGUGACAUUUCUAGCUUUGCAAAUGCCUUUUAAGGUAGAAAACCUUUUUAAGAUCAACUCUGUAUAUAAUAGUAUCUUUAUUAUAUAGCCGACUGUGUAUAAAAAUAUGUUUGUGUAUAUAACUAAAUUCUCGGCAGCAACGUAGAAUGUGUAAUGCGUUUAAGUAAAAUUGGGCAUGGCUA